CGCUCUCUUUUUUUUCAAAUGACUUAUUUUAGGACCCAAAACACUCGCUACUCUCUCACUCACUCUCUGGGUCUCUCUCUCAACCCUCUCUAAACCCUAACCUCUCUUAACCGAUCAAAUCAACCUUCUUCAGCCCUGUUUGAUCCAAUCUUAGAGCGAUUGGCGAUUUCAAUUUUGAUUUCGAAGUUCUCUCUCUCCCUCUUUCUCCCUCGAUUUCGAAGCUCCACUGCCUCCACCAUCCGCACCGGCGAGGGGAACGAGCACUAGCGUCUACUAAGAUAAGGAUCAAGAAUUGGGGGAAGCCUUAGAGAGAAGGCAGUUGAAGAGAGUUCCGAAUGGGCAGAGACCCCCCAAAUGGCAAAGGAAAAUAGAGGGAGUACCUCAACGAUCAUUUUUAGUUCAAGGGUGUGUGACAAUGUCUAGCUUGAAGUUGGGAACUUGAUACGCACUCACUCUCCAUGGUAUGAACGAUACAAUUUACUUGUAUCUUCUGCAUGACUUUACUCAUCGUGGUGUAAUACAAAACAAAUAAUGGUAGGGUUAGAUAUCACCAUCAAGGUGUGCUUAGUGGUAUCUUAUGGUGCUUGUGGUACUAUUCCAUUACUGAUUGUCAACGCAGAGAAUGAAAUAGUGCUGCAACAAAUAAUGGAAGGUGAGUGGUUUGUUGUUAGAUUAUGGAUUGGUUGUGCUGCAACACUAUUCUCCGUUUCUAAUUUUUCUUCUUACUCCAGAGAUCAAGAGACUUCCUUGUGUACAUGGGUCUCAACGCAGAAAAUGAAAUAGUGCACACAUCCUUGCAUUUUUGGCCGGUGUUAUGUUUUGGUCAUAGGUGCACAUAUCAACCUUCUUUUUGAUUUGAAGAUAAUGAAUGUUUGGUUUACUUGUUGUGAUGUGCCAUAUUCUGUUUUAAAAGUGAAUUUCUUCAAAUUAUGUCUUUAGAAUCAUGUUAACUGUAUUUAAGCAGCCAAGGAGCUUCAGUUAGACCUUAGAUGUGUAUAAGCUUGUUGUGAUGCAUACAAAGUUUCCUUUUUUAAUUAGGCAAUAACAUGUUGAUGGAGAUUGUAUGUGGGUUGUAGCCAAUUGAAAGGCUGGGUAUACCCACUGCUGGAUUUGCUUAACAAGAUGGUACUUGUUUCAGAUAUUAAUGCAUUAAUUCGUAACAUUUCUUUCUUUUUUCUUCUCUCUCUCUCUCUCUCUCUCUCUCUCUCUCUCUCUCUUUUAUUUUUUUUAUUUUUUAUUUUUUUAAAUUGUCAUAAUGAAAUAUGUCGUCAAAGAUUCUGUGGAGGUUCUUAGGUGGCAGUGUGUGAGAUAACAGGUUCCUUGCCAAAAUAUUCACUGGUUGGGUAUGAAGUAAUUAGGUCAUGGGUUAGUAAGGAUGAGGAUCAAGGGAAUAUUUGUUGGGUUGGAUUGGGUUGACACUUGAAUAUAAAUUGGUUGAUUUGGGUUGAGGAUGCACAUAUUUGUGCCAAUGUCCUGCCCACAAACUGUUCUAACUUGUUUUUUGUUGGGUUGGGUUUGGGUUUGGGUUUGGGUUUAUACUUGAAUAUGAAUUGGUUGAUUGCUUAUAUUUGGAUCAGUGUCUUGCCCACAAACUGCUUAAACUUAUUAUAGGUCGAGGCUAGCUAAUUUUCUUGGUUUGGUUGCACCUGAUGGAAUGGAUACAUCAUAUUUGGCAUGAUUUUUUUUUAAAAAAUUAAUGUGCAUCCUCAUAAGUGGAUGCAUUGAAGUAACAAUAUUCCUAUUGCAUUCAAACUAGUUGAUAUUCAUUAUUUUUGGAAUCUUUGCAGAUUACUAACUUGCCAUUUUCUCUAUACUCAACAUUUGUCAUUGAGGCCCGCCAUGGUUUCAACAAAGUUUGUACUCUCUCAUUACUGAUUGUCAUGUUCAUACAUUGUUAUUUCCUACCUUAAAAAUUUAGUUGUUACACUCUUGCUCUUGUUUUGCUGAAGUAACAGCAAACAAUAAUGGCCCUUUUGCUUUGCUUAACUUCAUCAACCACAUUCAGUAACCUUUUCUUCAAUAUUGGGAUAGUUAGGUUGUUCAGUUGGUGGCUUAUGUGGGUGGUACACCUUGCAAGAGAUAUCAUUAUAAAUGAAACUAUCAUCAUUAACAAUUAGGGUCUAUUCCUAUGUAAUGCAAUGCUGUUGUUAGUGGGAAUUCUGGCUUAAUUUUUAAGUUAAAAAGAAUUUUUUUUUUCUUUUUCUUUUUUUCCCAUUCCUUUUAUUUUCUAAUGGGGCACUUGUGUCUUCUCAUAACCCUUGUCAUAUUUUUGCAAGAGUCUUAUAUUAUAAUGUGGAGGUUAUAGUCUAAAUGAGCUUUCAUUCUUAUGUUCUAGGUUUUAUUGACUUGGAAACUUCACAUCAUCCUAGUAUAAAUAUGAUCUAUUAUCUUUACAAAAGUUGCUUUAAUUGGUUUAUAUUUUAUGUAACAAGUGCUAUAAAAGAAUCGGACGAGCUUGUGACACCAUCUGCCUAAUUCUUUACCUUUGGAUACAUGGAUCAGAGUAGUUAACUUGCCUUGAUAUAUGGUUUUUAUUGUACCCUUCAUUAUAGCCUACUGUUUGCUUACAGUAUUACUAGUUUUCUGAAAGGCCCCAUUUGUUUUCAGAAGUAGAAUGGAGGGAAUUCAUAAUAGUUAGAAGAUUGUUAGUGAGGGGAUUAAGUAAAAUUGUGUUUAUUUUGGUGAUAUUUGUUAGUGUAGGAAUUGUUAAAUUAUUUUUAUAUAAAAUAAUAAAACAAAUAAAAAAAUACAAAAAAUUAAACAUUAAUGUUCAAAAAAAAAUUCUCAAUAUAUAAAAAAUUAAAAAGUUUCUAAUCCCCUAAUUAUUUUUCUAAUACCACCUCCAUCUUCUCCAUCCCAAUCCUCCUUCCAACCUCCAUCUUAAUCUCCUUCUCCAUCAUAAUCCCUUCCCCAACUCUACAAACAAACACAGCACUAAAUAAUCCCACCUCUAUCCUAAUCUCAUUUCAUCAUUUACACCCCAAAACAAACGGAGCCAAAGAUCUUAGGGCCUCAUCUUAAAAGUUGCAUGGCAUUUUCUUAUAGGAGCACCCUAAAACAUUUAUUUAUCUGCAUAGCCAAUUCAUGCUGGUUAAUGGGUUGCAUGCAAACUUGCUUGGUGGACUGGGUAGUGAUAGACGCAAUAUUUUCAUUUUGAUAGAUAUUUGGGUGAUAUUCAAGAAUCUAUAUCGAAAUAAUUGUUAGAAUGGUUUGCAAUGGCAAAGCAACAUUCUAUGGUUCUUCAUGAGUGGUUGCAGAACCAUAGGAUCUGGUGUGUUUGGCAUGUCUUUCUUUAUUUUUUGUCUGGCUUGUCUUUGGCAUGUUUGUAGACACUUCAAUGUAAAUUCUAUGAGUGUUUUUAAUGCUGCUGCUGUGUUGUUGUUAUGAUUAGUUUUAUCUGUGAGGGAAUCUGUUUUUACAGAGCUCAUAGUUUCCUGUUGUUGGAGGAGAGGGAACAUUUCUAGUUAGUAUAUGUGCUGGAAAAAUAACAUUUCCUUUCUAAUUAAUUAUGCUCAGAUGAAAUUAGUUGUAAACAUGCUGGACCUUUGCUUUUUUGACCAUACUAGAUUGAUAAAUUUGCAGGAAUGGUGAUUGACACUUUGUUAUACCUUUUCAUGCAUGUGGGGGACUCCAAAACUUGUGCAGCAAAUGCCUACCAUACAGGUAAAUCUAUGGACUUGGUUUUAACUUGGAUGAUUUUCAUGAUUUUCCCCCCUCGUAAUAAUGAUAAAGGACCAUGUAACAACUGUGGAAGGAUGGUAAGAAACAGGCAGAUGCGUACUGCUGGACCGAAAGCUGGUGGUUCUCCAUGAAAACAAUAUCGGUUACUGUGUAAUACAUUGGCAUGAAAUUUUGUUUGUUCUUUUUGAAUGGCUAUGAGACGUAUUGGCAAGUUGUAUAGGGAAGAGGAUUAAAUCAAAUAAAACUAAGUUGUGUCACAAUCAGAAUUUACUUGGCACCACAUUUUAUGUAUGUUCUCUUGAAACAAAUACAUUUGAUUUUUUUAUUUAUUUUUAUUUUUUGUA